CUUUUUUUAUAUAUAUAAAUAGAAAUUUUAUAAUAUUUUUUGUUAAUUAAUUAAUAUUGAUAAAGAUAACCCACAUGCAUGGAUCAUUAUUUCUAAAGUUUUGUUGAUAGGUCUGGCCGCUAGGGUUUUUAUUUCAACGGGCAUCACUUUCAGACCAACUUUUGAUAGAAACAUCCUUUAUACAAUAAGAUGAAAAUACCACAUCAAAACCCUAGCAGUCAACAUCUUGCAGAUGAACUUCUUAUACUUCCUAUGGAAGAAGUUGUAGAAAAUCCACCACAUUAUAUACAUGGCAGAUCACAUGUAUAAGUACUACUGGAAUUUAGAUCAUGAUCAUUAACCCUGAAUUACAAAUUUACAAUACAUAUAUAAAUAUAUAUAUAUAUAUAUAUAUAUAUAUAUUAUAUAGCACAUGAAUUAAUUAAAAGUAUGGA